AGGCAGACAGGUGAGAAGCAGACAGGUGAGACAGAGGAGAGACAGACAGGUGAGAGGCAGACAGAGGAGAGGCAGACAGGUGAGAGGCAGACAGGUGGACAGGUGAGACAGAGGACAGACAGAUCGAUAAGAGACAGACAGACAGGUGGAUGAAAAGUCUCUCUGUUUAUCGUCUGUUGGAAUUUCAAACUCUGCUGAUAUGAAGGUGAUCGAUGGCUGCUGACACACAAACCCAUGUGACCCUGCUCUGACAGCCAAUCAGAGAGCAGCAUUCGGC